rnacentral:rRNA from 1 species
UCGGGAAUUUUGGGCAAUGGGGGAAACCCUGACCCAGCAACGCCGCGUGAAGGAUGAAGUAUUUCGGUAUGUAAACUUCGAAAGAAUAGGAAGAAUAAAUGACGGUACUAUUUAUAAGGUCCGGCUAACUACGUGCCAGCAGCCGCGGUAAUACGUAGGGACCAAGCGUUGUUCGGAUUUACUGGGCGUAAAGGGCGCGUAGGCGGCAAUUCAAGUCAUCUGUGAAAUCUCCGGGCUUAACUCGGAACGGUCAGAUGAUACUGCUUUGCUAGAGUGCAGAAGGGGCAAUCGGAAUUCUUGGUGUAGCGGUGAAAUGCGUAGAUAUCAAGAGGAACACCUGAGGUGAAGACGGGUUGCUGGGCUGACACUGACGCUGAGGCGCGAAAGCCAGGGGAGCAAACGGGGAUUAGAUACCCACGUAGUCCCUGAGCGGGCUGGCAAGGCGCAU